AGAAAGUCCAUCCUGACUUACACCUGGAAGGGGAGCACCCUUGGCCCUGGGAGAUGCAGUUGAUCGUGAACACUCAUUUUCUGUGAGAAAGUGCACCCCCUGCUCCGAUCAGCUGAUCUACAACCCUUCUGCGCAUUGGUGCUUCGGGGCCCCCGGAUUUGCUUGGUUGGGUGAGAGGCAGCCUGCGUGAUAGAAGGAACACGGGACUGAGCAGCCGCAAAGCCUAGGUUCCAGUCCAGGCUCUGCUACUGCCUGGGUCCCUUCUCCAGCCUGGGCCUGUUUCCCAAUCUGCAAAAUAGGAGGUCAGCGCGGCUGGCAGUCAGGUGCCUGUGGUCUCAGACCUCUUCUCCCUAGGUGUGUGUGGACCGGUUACCCGCGGACCCCACCAGGACCAGGAAUGCCUUCCACCUCCUGUCCUGGAGGCAGGCCUUCCCCGCAGCCCCAUUUGUCUUUUAACGCUGUGGUGAAUAGAAGCGAAUGUCAGCCACAGCUGCCAGCCAGCCAGCUGGUGCAUCUGAUGGGGGAAAGCCCUCCCAACCAGCCUCACCAUCCAUCUGUGCCCCUAGCGGGUCCAGGUCUCCCACUGCAUCCCCCUCCGCAAGGUGCAGUGCACAGAAAACCAACUCCCAGAGGUCAACAGUGAACUAUCAGCCCUUAUUUUGGCCAGUAAUUGCCAGUUCCUCCCUCAGAAACCAUUCCCAAGGCUUCUAGCAGGAAGCCAAUGGACCAUUGAGAACCACAUCCUGGCUGCUUCUGACCUCCUGCUGCUGUAGGUGAAAACAGGUCACGGGAAGAGAUAAAGGUGGAGAGCAAGGAGAAAACUGCGGUGGAAGGGAAGACCCAGUCCAGCUGGCAGAGGGCUCGGGCCCAGAACUUGAGGGUUGCUUUUGACUGUCUUUGCGAAGUUUGCUGAAAACCAGGCCAAUCAAGCAGUUUUUAAAAGCUCCAAAUUGUAAACCACAGGAGGGAGCAGAGCCAUAGUUCUCAAAUUGUACUGAGUACCAGCAUUGCCUCGGGAGCUUGUAAAACUGCAGACUCCUAAGCCCCUUCUCCAGAUGCAGAAGGAUUCUGAACCUCAUUCAGAAGGAUUCUCUACCUGCGUUCUAACCAGCCCCCCACCCCCAAUGAUUCAGACAUGGGUGGAGGCGAGAACCGAGAACCAGGGAGAUUAAAUUGUCGUUAACAGUGACAUCUCAGGUCCCUCAACAAUGGCCAGGCUGUGCAGCCUCCAGGAGCACCGCUUCCCUGCCUCUGUGGUUUGAGGGGCCAGGGGACCAGCCCACAGUGGAGGUGGAGAGAGCACCAAGACUCCAGGCCGGGGCACACAGAGUGUCCCAGUGAGUGAGCCAGGACAAGAGGCCGUGGGUGAGAGAGGGACUGGGGAGCCAGGGGGUCCGAGAGCUAGGGCUGUGAGCAGGAAGGAAGCAAAGGCAAGGGGGUGAGCUAGGCAGAUGGGAGGGUGGCCUGGGAGUUUGCCAGGCACAGCAGGCUCUGAGUUCCCAACCUCACAGGGCCUGGGGCACAACGAACACUUGCUGAGUGAGGAAGGCAAAACUCUAAAGAGUCUAUGCAGGCCACUACAGCUGUGCAAAGAACACUAACAAAGAGAAUUUGGAGAGAUGUAAAUAGCCGCGUUUCAUGAUCAUCAGGUUCCUUUUUUUCCAUAAACUUUGCUUAAGUUCAUAAUAAAAAAAUAAACACAG
rnacentral:lncRNA from 1 species